rnacentral:rRNA from 1 species
CGUAGGGUGCAAGCGUUGUCCGGAAUUAUUGGGCGUAAAGAGCUCGUAGGCGGUUUGUCACGUCGGAUGUGAAAACUCGGGGCUCAACCCCGAGCCUGCAUACGAUACGGGCAGACUUGAGUGUGGCAGGGGAGUCUGGAAUUCCUGGUGUAGCGGUGAAAUGCGCAGAUAUCAGGAGGAACACCGGUGGCGAAGGCGGGACUCUGGGCCAAUACUGACGCUGAGGAGCGAAAGCGUGGGGAGCGAACAGGAUUAGACACCCUGGUAGUCCACGCCGUAAACGGUGGGUGCUAGGUGUGGGGAACUUUCCACGUUCUCCGUGCCGCAGCUAACGCAUUAAGCACCCCGCCUGGGGAGUACGGCCGCAAGGCUAA